GUCUUUUUGAUUUAUAUAUAAAGUUUGACCUGCCCACUGAAAAUUUUAAAUGGCUGCAGUAAUUUGACUGUACAAAGGUAGCAUAAUCAUUAGUUUUUUAAUUAAAAGCUUGUAUGAAAGGUUGGACGAAGUAAAAUCUGUCUCUUUUUAAUAUAAUUAGAAUUUAAUUUUUAAGUAAAAAAGCUUAAAUUUUUAUAAAAGACGAGAAGACCCUAUAGAGUUUAAUAAUUUUAAUAAAAUAUUUAAUUAAGAUUUAUUAAUUUUAUUUAAUUAAAAUUAUUUUAUUGGGGUAAUAAAAAGAUUAAAAAAAUUCUUUUUUUUUAAUACAUUAAUUUAUGAAUAUAUGAUCCAUUUGUAGUGAUUAAAAGAUUAAAUUACCUUAGGGAUAACAGCGUAAUUUUUUUAAAGAGUUCUUAUCGAUAAAAAAGUUUGCGACCUCGAUGUUGGAUUAAAGAUUAAUUUAGGUGUAGAAGUUUAAAUUUUUGGUCUGUUCGACCAUUAAAUCUUUACAUGAUCUGAGUUCAAACCGGUGUAAGCCAGGUUGGUUUCUAUCUUUAUUAAUUUUUUAUAUUUUAGUACGAAAGGACCAAAUAUAAAAUAUAUAAAUAUUUUUAUUUUGAAUAUUAUUAAAUUAGUUAUUUUGGCAGAUUAGUGUAAUGAAUUUAGAAUUCAUUUAUGUAAAUAUUUUACAAAUAAUACUUGUUUAUAAAAGAUAUAAUUAUUUCUUUUAUUUUAAUUAUUUUAUUAAUUAUUUGUGUUUUAGUAGGUGUAGCUUUUUUAACUUUAUUAGAACGAAAGGUUUU
rnacentral:rRNA from 1 species